GAGGAAUUAGUUCAAUUGGUAGAGCAUUUGUUUUACACACAAAAAGUUGUAGGUUCGAAUCCUGCAUUCCUUA
rfam:Beauveria bassiana D1-5 mit mitochondrial, whole genome shotgun sequence.